GGGCCUGUAGCUCAGUUGGCUAGAGCGCCUCAUUUGCAAUGAGGAGGUCAGGAGUUCGAGUCUCCUCAGGUCCACCG
rnacentral:tRNA from 2 species